UGCCCAACAACAAUGAUAACUUGAUAAGGCAAUCCCUCUAUGCCUGGGAGGUGCUGGCAUUAUCCACCCAACACGUCGAUGAGCCUUCGGGGUUUUGACCUCCCUCAUUUCUCUUCGUUCUUUUCCUCCCAACCUAUUAUUUCCAAUUGCUUUCCCUCCAGUCAUCCUUCCAACACUCCUCUCAAAUUGACGCCAGCCUCCUCAAAAUUAGCUGUGCAGACCCUCGAUAACAUUUUUCCUAAACCCACAUCAGUAAGACCAGGGAGACGAACAUUGACUGUAAAGAUUCUUGAUAAAUAAAACUGCAUGUUAAGCGUAAAGAGAGAAUGGAGGGAGUAUGCUAGCAUGAUACUACUCAUUCGCAUGCCUGCAUACUUCAAGUGGUCAGAGUCGGUAUUGCUUCAAACCAAAAGUGCACCAUUGGACCUACUACUUAGCAUCUCCUUCAGGUAGCCACAUCAUGCAAUUGCAAUUUCAGGCUGCAGCAAUCUAAAAAUAUAUUCGCGCAGAGAGAGACGCAUGCAAGGUACGGUGGAUUAUACUGGAUCGAUCGAUGAAGCAUAUAUGUCUGCAUGAGGGAAUACGGUGCUGCGCGCAGUGAUUUAUUCUAAUUCUUGUCCAUGUUGUCACAAUUAUUGUUGUAUUUUUUACCACUGCUAGCUCUGCGUGCAUCACUGGUCACUCAUCGAUCUCUUUUGAAACAAUGGAACAAAAUAUGGGUGCAGGGAAUUGGUGUCAUAAUUAAAUUGGUUUGGAGAGUGACUUGGGAUGAUGUGAUCUAUACCUUUGGAUUAAUGCCUUGAGUGUAUAGGUUUUGAUAAUUGUUUUCUCCUUCUUCUGCUAUUUUUUAAGGGG
rnacentral:lncRNA from 1 species